AGAGACUUAGGAUAAAACAAACCAAGAGCCUUCAAAGCCCUAAAUAGGGGUUACACCCCUAGUCUCUG
rnacentral:tRNA from 1 species